rnacentral:rRNA from 3 species
UUGGAGGGCAAGUCUGGUGCCAGCAGCCGCGGUAAUUCCAGCUCCAAUAGCGUAUAUUAAAGUUGUUGCAGUUAAAAAGCUCGUAGUUGAAUUUCGAGACCGGCUUACUGGUCGUGCUUUUGUACGUACUGGUAUAAUCGGUUUCUCCUUUCUGACGAACUAUAAUGCCAUUAAUUUGGUGUUAUAGGGAAUCAGGACUGUUACUUUGAAAAAAUUAGAGUGUUUAAAGCAGGCUCACGCUUGAAUACAUUAGCAUGGAAUAACGGAAUAGGACGUUUGAUUCUAUUUUGUUGGUUUCUAGGAUCGACGUAAUGAUUAAUAGGGAUAGUUGGGGGCAUUAGUAUUCAAUUGUCAGAGGUGAAAUUCUUGGAUUUAUUGAAGACUAACUACUGCGAAAGCAUUUGCCAAGGAUGUUUUCAUUAAUCAAGAACGAAAGUUAGGGGAUCGAAGACGAUCAGAUACCGUCGUAGUCUUAACCAUAAACUAUGCCGACUAGGGAUCGGAUGAUGUUAAUUUUUUAAUGACUCAUUCGGCGCCUUACGGGAAAC